rnacentral:lncRNA from 1 species
GUGAGCUGUCAUGCCCAUGUGCUGGUACGCCUGCGACUACAACCCAGAGUUCUCUGCUGUACCUCACCUCAGUGCUUAAAAUGCAUGCUGGUCCUCCACAUCAGCACCCUCAUUUCUUUUUACGUGGCCAGAUUAGUUGCUCAAUAGACCGGACGUUUGACAUCCAGAGACAUAGGGAAAGAUCUAGCUAUCAGAAGUGGCCACACUUUUCCUAUUAUCCAACUUGGUGGGGUAUGCUGCUCCCUGAUGUUUACAGGCACCAAAGGAAGAAGCUGGAGCAGGGCAGCUGGGGUAGUGGAGGAGAAACACCAGCAGUAAUAAGUGGAGAACCUCUGAGAAACAUUCAAGAUUUCAUCAGAGCCAAAGGAAUGACCGGGUGAUGGCA